UCUCCGGCGCCGGCAUUUAUAGCCGAAGCUCUCUGUCGAUUGGCCGUCUGGCGCGAGGCCGGCUGCCAUUGGGCGACUUGAGAGCUCGAAAAGUUCGCGCCUCCGUGGCGGGUAAACCCCUCCCUCUUCCUUCCUUUGCCCCGCCCUCUCCAUCUCCACAGCCACCGCCCCGGCCCGCGCUCCCCCUCCCGCCACAGCUCGGGCGCUUGGUCUUUUCCGGCCCUCUAGAGCGCUUUAGCGUCGGCUAACUCGCGGUUCACCGUCCCCACGAACUGCGGUCUGAGAGGCGGCGGGGCGACAAGGACCUCCGUAAGCGAGCGAUGGUGUAGCAGGGUCCCGCUGCCCAGGCCUCGGACUCGGCUUCUUCCGAAUCCCAUUCCCCUCACUGCCCUUGUCCUCCUCCCUCUCCGGCAUGAGGACUGCUGGCAAAGGCUCUUUCACACGUCAGCGUCUUUCUUCCCCGAGCCGGUUCUUUGUUUCUUCCCACUCGGUUACAGCGCUCGGUUGAGGAUCGUGGUACGCGCGCGGCUACUGCCGCGACCUUUUGUUAAGUCCCGGCUCUGGCCGGAGGAGCGCGCCUUAGCGAAGCGAGGACGGACGCCGAACCGCGAGCGCCGCCGCGACCAAUCCCCGUCCACCGCCAGCUGUUCAGGGCCGGGCCGGGCCGGGCCGCGCGCUCCUGGUGGGGAACUCCGUGCAGUUUUCACUCAGGUCGGACUCAGCCCGGCAGCUGCGCGGCUCUCGGUCUUACUGCCCGCCCCCUGCUCAGCUGCAGGUUUCUCAGGUGUACGUUUUAAGGGGGGGCAGAACAACGGGGCAGCGGAAGACGACACGGGCAGGGUACAACGCUCGGGAUCUCAGGCGGGACUGCACGGAUCAGGAACGAGAACACCGUGAAAGCGCCUCGGCUUGCUUUCUUCUGUCACCCACGAGAACGCAAAGGGGGAACGGACUGGGCUUGGAGCUUUUUGCUGUAAAGAGAUUCACGCGGUCGCCGUUAGCCGUUUGAUGCUUUCCA
rnacentral:lncRNA from 1 species